GGAAGAGAAUCGUCUCCGGUGGGGCGGCCGGGCUUCAAACCCGUGCUGGGGCGCUCAGCGUUCCUGGUGGGUUCAACUCCCACUCUCUUCCGCCA
rnacentral:tRNA from 2 species